AUGACCACCACGCCCAGCUCACAAUUACAUUUCCAGCUGCUGCUGCCGCUAAUCCUACUAGUCAUCCUUGCGGCCAUGGCUGAAGGGCGGCGUCCAGGUUGCCCGGACAAGUGCGGCGACAUCAGCAUCCACUUCCCGUUUGGCAUCGGCACCGGCUGCUUCCGGGAUGGCUUUGAGGUCUUGUGCAACCACUCCUCCGGUACCCCCCGCCUCUUCUUUUCCAACAACAUAAUACGCAAGGGCAAUGAUGAUUCGUCGCCGCUCGAGCUGCUGAGUAUAUCAGUGGAGACAGGCAAGGCACGAGCGUUAGCCCCGGUGUCGCACCGCUGCAGCACAAAUGAUACUGCGUCCUCCUCCAUGGACGUUUCUAUUGUGGUAGGAGGCACGCCGUUCGCCUUGUCGGCGCGUAACGUUCUCAUCGCCGUCGGCUGGAGCGCCGUGCCUAGACUUUAUUAUUUUGACCCUUCGGAGCUCCAAUUCUCUUGCCUUGCGUAUAAUAUCGUGUUCAGUGGAGAUAGGGGGAACGGGACCUGCACGGAGGGCUGCUGCGAGUUCGCCCCUGCGCGGGUCGCCAGGGUAUUGCAAUUGGAUGUCGAUUUUGGUUAUGCCGCUAACGCGAUGUGGCCAAUCCUCCCGUGCGCCUACGGCAUGUUGGUGGAGAAGUCAUGGUACAAGUACUAUACGGCGGACAUGUACAACUACACUCUACUCAACAGAACCACCAUGGGCGUCCCACUCGCGCUUGAUUUCGCCGCCGGUGAGGCUGCGUGUCCGGCAAAAGGACAGCCGCCGCCUCCGGACUAUGCCUGCGUCAGCGGCAACAGUUCUUGUGCCAACGCAACCUUUACUCCUGGAUAUAUCUGCAAGUGCUGGGACCAUUACGCUGGCAACCCUUACGUCCCUGACGGCUGCCAAGACAUUGAUGAAUGCAAGCGACCCCAAGUGUAUCCCUGCUCAAGUGGCGCAGUCUGUAGAAACAGGCUGGGAGGCUACGACUGUCCAUGCAAAUUCGGAUUGAAAGGAGAUGGCAAAGCAGGAACCUGCACACAUAUAUUCAGUCCAGCAGCAAAGGCGACCGUAGGCCUUGCUGCCUUAGUUGUUGUAAUUGUCCUCAUGGUUCUGGCACAUCAACUCCUCAAACUCAGAAAAUUCUAUAAACAAAAUGGUGGUCCAAUACUAGAAGGUGUCAAGAAUAUAAGGAUCUAUACAAGCAAACAACUUAAGAAGAUGACAAAUAACUACAAGGUUGUUAUUGGAGAGGGCCAUUUUGGUAAGGUUUAUAUGGGGACUCUAAAAGACACACAACAUGUGGCUAUAAAGAAGACCAUCAAAGUUAAUGAAGCUAGCAAAAAGGACUUCAUUGCUGAGAUUAUAAUCCAAUCUGGAAUGAGGCACAAGAACAUUGCCAGGCUCUUAGGUUGUUGCUUAGAGAUGGAUGUUCCAAUGCUGAUGUAUGAGUAUGUAGUGAAAGGGAGUCUGUAUGAUGUUCUGUUCAAAAGCAAAGACAACAUUCUAGUGGAUACACGCCUCAGGAUUGCCAUUGGUUCCGCCGAAGGCUUGGCAUACAUGCAUUCAGCAGUGGAGAGUACCAUUCGUCACGGUGAUGUUAAAUCUGCUAAUAUACUUCUUGAUGCAAGCUUCACCCCAAAAAUUUCAGACUUUGGGACCUCAAAGCUGCUUGCAAGAGGAAAUUCCAUGCAGACUGAAUGGGUCACUGGAGACAAGGCUUACAUAGAUCCAACAUACAUGGUCCAUGGGAUAGUUACACAGAAGAGUGAUGUAUACAACUUUGGAAUUGUUCUCAUAGAGAUUAUCACAAGGAGGGUUGCAAUAUAUGAUGACAAUAUGAGUUAUGCAAAAAACUUUGUUCUAGCUUGUCAAGAUCAAAGAGUAAGGAACUUUGUUGAUAAUGAUAUUACAAGCGAAAAUGAUAUGGAGAUCCUGGAAAUGGUUAGCAAAGUCGCUCUGGAGUGUCUUAAACUUAAUCCUGAGGAACGCCUAGAUAUGACGCAAGUAGAAAGUCGUCUCCGUAAUAUUGGGCAAUCUGAAUAA
rnacentral:rRNA from 1 species